rnacentral:rRNA from 1 species
CAGUAGCCACGGUAAUACGUAGGGUGCGAGCGUUAAUCGGAAUUACUGGGCGUAAAGCGUGCGCAGGCGGUUCGUUAAGACAGAUGUGAAAUCCCCGGGCUUAACCUGGGAACUGCAUUUGUGACUGGCGAGCUAGAGUAUGGCAGAGGGGGGUAGACUUCCACGUGUAGCAGUGAAAUGCGUAGAGAUGUGGAGGAAUACCGAUGGCGAAGGCAGCACCCUGGGCCAAUACUGACGCUCAUGCACGAAAGCGUGGGGAGCAAACAGGAUUAGAUACCCGCGUAGUCCCUGUCUCUUAUAC